AAUCUUAUACGUUAGAUCGUUGCUUAUCAGCUUGUGUCUAUUAGUUACGUGAUUCAUCUGUCGAUCAUCAGUUGAGUUCUAGUUAUUGAAAUAGACGGAUCUAAUCAGUACGCGAUUAUACAUUGAGCACCAUGAAACUGACUAUAUUCUUCUCGUUGAUCAUGUUACUAUUCGGUGCAGUGUUGGCAUUCCCAUCCGAAGGAAGCAAUGGAACAAACUCUUUGACAAAUACGGAUAAGGAAUCUCGCUUCUUUUCAAUUGUCGAUUAUGGAAAACAUAAUGAUCAUGCCGGCCAUCCACAAAAUGAAGAUUCACGCUCAGAGGAGGACAGCAAGGAACACAAAUCUUGUCACUAACCAAAGGCAUAAAAAUAUGAAAGCGCCUUAAGCUUUUCUGGAAUAAAUCACUUACAUCGAAACCACAGGAUAA